UACGUAGGGUGCGAGCGUUGUCCGGAAUUAUUGGGCGUAAAGAGCUCGUAGGCGGUUUGUUGCGUCGGCCGCGAAAACCUGCAGCUUAACUGUGGGCCUGCGGCCGAUACGGGCAGACUUGAGUUCGGUAGGGGAGACUGGAAUUCCUGGUGUAGCGGUGAAAUGCGUAGAUAUCUGGAGGAACACCGGUGGCGAAGGCGGCAUCCUGGACCAACACUGACGCUGAUGAGCGAAAGCCAGGGGAGCAAACGGG
rnacentral:rRNA from 1 species